rnacentral:misc_RNA from 1 species
GAUGAAGAACGUAGCGAAAUGCGAUAAUUAAUGUGAAUUGCAGAAUUCCGUGAAUCAUCGAGUCUUUGAACGCACAUUGCGCCUCAUGGCAUUCCGUGAGGCAGGCCCAUCUCAGCGUUAGAAAAUAUUCUCAAAUUUUAGUUUUGUGCUAAAAUUUGGAUCAUGUCAAAGAAGCUAUUACUAUUAUUGUGAUCGCUCUUUGGAAAUUGAUAGGUCUUUGAGUUGCUACCCAUAGAACGUGAUGAAUCUUUCUUCGUUCUAUUGUAAUUCACUCUGGUAGUCCUAAAACUUGUAUGCCUGUGGCAUAUCUUGUAAUUUGACCUGAGAUUGGGUAGGGAUACCCGCUGAACUUAAGCAUAUCAAUAAGCGGAGGA